rnacentral:lncRNA from 1 species
AAUGAUCCAUUUGAUCAUUCAUUAAUAAGUUUGAAAUAUUGAAGAUUUUAUCAACCGUAAAGAACCAAAGAUCAUGAUCAAUAGAUUUCAUCAACCAAUCAACAACAAAGGCAAAAAGGAUGUCAAGUUAAUGGUCAAAAUAAAAUAAAUAAAGGGUGAAUAAAAUAUAUGGGUGAAAAAUAUUCAAGGUAUAUUUAUAAAAUGUUGGAUUAAAAAUAAAAUAAGUGAAAGAAAAUAUGAAAUAAAAAUGAAAAAAGAAAUAAGUUAAAAUGAAGAAUAUAUGAAAUAAAAAUAAAA